GAGGAGAAGAGUAGUAGAGGCUGGCCAUGAGUAUGUGGAGCGAAGAGGGGGGAAGGAAUGGAGGGGGGAAGGGACAGAGUGGGAGAGCAAGAAGAGAAGAGCAAGAGAACAAGAGAGGGAGGAGGGGCGAGCAGCCCCUUUUAUAGUGGGUCAGGAAGGCCUACCUGGCUGUUGCCUGGUAACUGUGGGGUGGAGUUUAGACAGAAUGCUAACAGAUCAUAAUGUAGACAGAGCUGCUGCUUCCUGGUGGUCUUAGGUGACCCCAUGGAAGGGUUGCUCACCAACCCCCACCCAAAGGAGUGAGACCCACAGGUUGAGAACCACUGCUGUAGAACUCAUGUGAAGACCCUAAAUAUGGUCACCACGCAUCCAUAUUUGUGCUCCCCCUCCCCCAUCGAAUAAUCUUCUUUCUCUGCUUUCUAUUAGUUUGUUCUUUGUUUCUUUUGUUUGAGGCCUGGUCUCACGACCUAGCCUUGGCUGGCCUGGAACUCUGACCAGGCUUGAACACACAGACAUCCACCUGCUUCUGCUGCCUGAUGCUGGGAUUUGUUUGGUUUCAUACCCAGAAAGGGACUGAGGAGGCGGAGAAACAGCCUAUCAGGGUUAAAGGCAUGCACGGAACAUCAGCCAGCCAGGACUGUCCUCAUUUGCAUGCUGGGAAUUGCGUGGUGGGACCCGAGGAAGGCGGAGAGUUCCUGAAUAAGCAAUGUCCCAGCCUGUCUCAGGGCAGACAACUCUUUUGUGACUGCCUUGCCUGCUCCCCACUUUGC
rnacentral:lncRNA from 1 species